rnacentral:rRNA from 1 species
GAUGAACGCUAGCGGCAGGCCUAACACAUGCAAGUCGAGGGAGAAGCCCUUUCGGGGGCAGAAACCGGCGCACGGGUGCGUAACGCGUAUGCAACCUACCUUUCACAGGGGGAUAGCCCGAAGAAAUUUGGAUUAAUACCCCAUAAUAUUAUUGGAUGGCAUCAUUUGAUAAUUAAAACUGCGGUGGUGAAAGAUGGGCAUGCGUCCUAUUAGCUAGUUGGAGUGGUAACGGCACCCCAAGGCUACGAUAGGUAGGGGUCCUGAGAGGGAGAUCCCCCACACUGGUACCGAGACAGGGACCAGACUCCUACGGGAGGCAGCAGUGAGGAAUAUUGGUCAAUGGUCGGAAGACUGAACCAGCCAUGCCGCGUGCAGGAAGAAUGCCUUAUGGGUUGUAAACUGCUUUUAUAUGGGAAGAAUAAGGCGUACGUGUACGUUGAUGACGGUACCAUAUGAAUAAGCAUCGGCUAACUCCGUG